UACGGGGGGAGCAAGCGUUGUUCGGAUUUACUGGGCGUAAAGGGCGCGUAGGCUGCGGGGCAAGUCGGGUGUGAAAUCUCAGAGCUCAACUCUGAAACUGCACUCGAUACUGCUUUGCUCGAGGACUGGAGAGGAGAUUGGAAUUCACGGUGUAGCAGUGAAAUGCGUAGAUAUCGUGAGGAAGACCAGUGGCGAAGGCGGGAUCUCUGGACAGUUCCUGACGGCUGAGGCGCGAAGGCCAGGGGAGCAAACGGG
rnacentral:rRNA from 1 species